rnacentral:rRNA from 1 species
UACAUGGGGUGCAAACGUUGCUCGGAAUUAUUGGGCGUAAAGCGCGCGUAGGCGGUUACUCAAGUCGGAUGUGAAAGCCCUCGGCUUAACUGAGGAAGUGCACCCGAAACUGAGUAGCUAGAGUACUAAAGAGGGUCGCGGAAUUCCCGGUGUAGAGGUGAAAUUCGUAGAUAUCGGGAGGAACACCGGUGGCGAAGGCGUCGACCUGGGUAGAUACUGACGCUGAGGCGCGAAAGCGUGGGGAGCAAACAGG